CCCCCCUUAUUGAUAAUUUUAGGGCCCCCACCCGCCGCACAGAGGUGGGGGCCGGGGGGGGGGGACAGUAGGUUCCCCCCCAUUGAUAAUUUUAGGGCCCCCACCCGCCGCACAGGGGUGGGGGCCGGAGGGGGGGGGGGACAGU